rnacentral:rRNA from 1 species
UACGUAGGGUGCGAGCGUUGUCCGGAAUUACUGGGCGUAAAGAGCUCGUAGGUGGUUUGUCGCGUUGUUCGUGAAAACUCACAGCUUAACUGUGGGCGUGCGGGCGAUACGGGCAGACUGGAGUACUGCAGGGGAGACUGGAAUUCCUGGUGUAGCGGUGGAAUGCGCAGAUAUCAGGAGGAACACCGGUGGCGAAGGCGGGUCUCUGGGCAGUAACUGACGCUGAGGAGCGAAAGGCGUGGGGAGCGAACAGG